GCAUAUCAUAGCGGAGGAAAAGAACCCAACAGGGAUUGCCUCAGUAACGGCGAAGUGAAGCGGCAACAGCUCAAAUUUGAAAUCUGGCCCCUUCGGGGUCCGAGUUGUAAUUUGCAGAGGGUGCUUUUGGUGUUGGCCGUGGUCUAAGUUCCUUGGAACAGGACGUCACAGAGGGUGAGAAUCCCGUACGUGGCCGCCGGCCCUCGCCUUGUAAAGCCCCUUCGACGAGUCGAGUUGUUUGGGAAUGCAGCUCUAAAUGGGAGGUAAAUUUCUUCUAAAGCUAAAUACCCGCCAGAGACCGAUAGCGCACAAGUAGAGUGAUCGAAAGAUGAAAAGCACUUUGGAAAGAGAGUGAAAAAGCACGUGAAAUUGUUGAAAGGGAAGCGCUUGCGGCCAGACGUGCCCGCGGUUGUUCAUCUGGGCUCUCGCCCGGUGCACUCCUCCGCGGGCAGGCCAGCAUCAGUUUGGGCGGUCGGACAAAGGUCUCUGUCACGUACCACCCCUCGGGGUGGCCUUAUAGGGGAGACGCAACACGGCCAGCCUGGACUGAGGUUCCGCGCAUCUGCUAGGAUGCUGGCGUAAUGGCAGCAAGCGGCCCGUCUUGAAACACGGACCAAGGAGUCUAACAUCUAUGCGAGUGUUUGGGUGUCAAGCCCGAGCGCGUAAUGAAAGUGAACGGAGGUGGGAACCCCUCGGGGCGCACCAUCGACCGAUCCUGAUGUCUUCGGAUGGAUUUGAGUAAGAGCAUAGCUGUUGGGACCCGAAAGAUGGUGAACUAUGCCUGAAUAGGGUGAAGCCAGAGGAAACUCUGGUGGAGGCUCGCAGCGGUUCUGACGUGCAAAUCGAUCGUCAAAUUUGGGGCAUAGGGGGCGAAAGACUAAUCGAACCAUCUAGUAGCUGGGUUCCUGCCGA
rnacentral:rRNA from 1 species